AGAUAAUGAAUUCUGAAUUAGUGUAUCGUGUAGUAGGAAGCUAUCUUAAGCCUCCAGAAAGAGUGUUUGUUCCAUCAUCCACCCAAAAUGAAUCAUCUCAGACUUGCCAACCCAAGAACUUAAAAGUCACCUCUGCUAAAGUGUUUCAUAGCCCAAAUAGCUAAGCUCUUAUUUUAGCCUGAAAAACUCUUCAGGAAAAGAUUCAUCAUUUAGACCUAGAAAGAACACAAGCUGAAGAUAACCUGAACACGCUUUCCAAAGAAGCAGCACAGUAUAACAAGGCCUUAGAGAAUGAAAUGAAUGAGAGAAAUCUGGCACAUGAGGAACUUUAAAGCAGAAAAAAGAUAUAAGUAUACAGUUAUGCUCAGCCCAAUCUUGUUGUACCCUUCUAGAGAAGCAACUAGAAUAUACUAAGAGAAUGGUUCUCAAUGUAGGGCGAGAAAAAAAUAUGAUUCUAGAACAACAGGCCCAGCUUCAAAGGGAAAAAGAACAAGAUCAGAUGAAGCUGCAUGCAAAACUUGAAAAGCUUGAUGUCUUAGAAAAAGAGUGUUUUAGGCUUACAACAACUCAGAAACCUGCUGAGGACAAGAUUAAACGUUUAGAGGAAAAACUCAGGGAAGAAGAACAUCAGUGUGAGCUAUUUCAAGCUUCUGAGCUUCAAACUGGACUUGAAAUCAGUAGAAUUUUAAUGUCUGCAGUUUCAAAUCCAAAACACUCCGGGGAAAAGAAGACAUCUUCAAAGAAAACUAAAUAUUUAAAGACAAGACCACCUUGGCAUAUUCAUUUGAAGUUUGGAUCACUGCCUCUUGUAACUGAAAAAUCCUCCAAUGUAAGCUGAUCGGUGAAUACAAAUGCAUAGAACCUUAUGCAGAUGAUGCAACAUUGUGACCUACAUUCCCUUCAGAAACCAUCGGAAGUGGCUGAGCCUAGAUGUCUCUACAAGCCUAUUAGAAAAACUUGCCAGGGCGGCGCUGUACCUUCUGGCUCUGAAAAGUCUAUUUCCAUUUGUGACAAUGUGUCUGAACUUUUAAUGGCAAUGCAGGAUGAGCUGGACCAAAUGACAAUGGAGCAUCAAGAACUACUGAAACAAAUGAAGGAAACUGAAAGCUAUUCAGUCUGUGAUGACAUAGAAUGUGAACUUGAGGAUUUAGUCAAGAAAAUGGAAAUGAAAGGAGAACAAAUGUCCAAACUGAAGCAGCAUCAAGAUAGUGUCCGUAAACUGCAGCAAGAAGUUCAAAACUCAAAGAUGAGUGAAGCUUCAGGUAUCCAGCGAGAAGAUAUCAACCCUAAAGGAUCAAAGAACAUAAAAAAUAGCCCCAGAAAAUGUUUCGAUGAAAUGAGCCCUUUUCUGAAAAACGACAACUUUCAUCCAAUCUGAGUUCAUAAUCUUCAAAUGAAAUUGAGAAGAGAUGAUAUCAUGUGGGAACAGUAA